AAACUGUUUACAUAGCAGCCUUUUGUUACAGGUUUUAAAUCUUCUCAGGCUGCCAGUUUGAGGCUGAGGCUGCCAGCUGGCAGACAGAGAGGUGCUUGUGCUCCAACUGUUGGAGGUAAUUAACAGCCCGAACUGUCAGAAGGUGACAGCCGGCAGAAAGUUCCUGCCCUGGGGUCACAGCUGGAUUCCGGCAACUUGCUCCUUGAUUUACCAGUAAAACUAAUAAUUCCACGACAGAAAAUGUACAUACAUGGACAGUCAAAUGUUGAGAUGCAAACAAUAUUAGCAUUUGUAUGCCUUUGUCUUUUGAAAUGUUACUCCUUCAAAGAUCAGAUUUUGUUCAAGGAAAACUUUCACGGUUUGAAGAGACUAAGUAUCAAUCAUCUGCUUCAAUUUUGCCUCUUAAAAGGGAAAUUUCUCUCUAUAAAGUGCAGGCUUUGCCAUGUAGAACAUCAAUAUUAAACACAGAGGAAUAAGGGUCCUUCCU
ensembl:lncRNA